GAAUGAAAAUCUCUCUGUGAGUUAUUAUUUUUAAUUUUCCAAACACCUGAACAAGCAGGUCUUUUAUGUAUUUGUAGCUCAUGUUGUAGCAUUUAUCCCGAGAUUACAAGACACAGAGCUGAGCACUGCUUUUUCGAACUGACAUUAACACUUGUUAAACUGGUUUUCUGGAAAGCCAACGUCAGAACAAGUAUUGCAGUCAAAAGUCAAAUCUGCAAAAUGUAUGUUAUCACUGUUUAAAUAUAAAGAGAGACAUUACCAGUGGUAGAUAUUUAACAAACCUCACACUUACAAAUCAUACUAUAUUCUAAGUCUAUAUAGCGUGUUUCUAAAUGGCAUUGUGUUUUAAAAAAUGAAAUUGGUCAGUUUUGUAUUACAAGAUGCUCAUGCUGUGGAGCCUCAUUAGUAGCCUCAUUGUACUAAUAUAGGGACAGCUUGCUGUGGAUUUCUCCAUUAUGCUAAUGGCAUCAAAGUGAAGCUUAGCCCCUACUUCUGCUAUGAAAACAAUGACAGAAAAAGGGCCCAGGCUGUAAUUAAGACAUCCUCUGCUUCCCAAAAUGAGGUUGAGCAGGAAAGGAAAGACAUAGUUCAUAACUCUGCCUCUAUGACACCAACAAGCAGAGCUUAAUAUUCCAGAAGGCAUCUUGAUGUAGUCAGCAAGUACCAGCUGUGUCUCUAUGGUCUCUGCAUGAGCAAACAAUUAAAGGACAGAGCCACACCUGGAUUUCUGCCUGCAAAUAGGGACCUUCAAGAAGAGUAGUAUUUUUGACUGCAAAGAAGCAUGCCAAGACAUUUCUCUAAAAGCCAACGUUACUUAAUGCUUCCAGUCUUCAGUGUACUGGCCAUAUACUGCAGGAUAAGAGAGCAUGAGAGAGGGACUUGAGAUCAUCUUUCCAAGAGUGGACAUUGCAAGGGGAAAUUACAGCUUCAUUAAAUGAAUGGAAGUUAACCAGUGAGUUUUGUCCUUUCAGAAGUGCAAUUAAAUUUUGAAGUAAA